CCUACGGGAGGCAGCAGUGGGGAAUAUUGCACAAUGGGGGGAACCCUGAUGCAGCAAUGCCGCUUGAAGGAUGAAGGUUUUCGGAUUGUAAACUUCUUUUGUACGGGACGAAGAAAGUGACGGUACCGUAAGAAUAAGCCACGGCUAACUGCGUGCCAGCAGCCGCGGUAAUACGUAGGUGGCAAGCGUUAUCCGGAUUUACUGGGUGUAAAGGGCGAGUAGGCGGGAUUGCAAGUCAGAUGUGAAAACUAUGGGCUCAACCGAUAGAGUGCAUUUGAAACUGCAGUUCGUGAGUGAUGGAGAGGCAGGCGGAAUUCCCGGUGUAGCGGUGGAAUGCGUAGAUAUCGGGAGGAACACCAGUGGCGAAGGCAGCUUACCAAACUAUAUCUGACGUUGAGGCACGAAAGCGUGGGUAGCAAACAGGAUUAGAUACCCGUGUAGUC
rnacentral:rRNA from 1 species